rnacentral:rRNA from 1 species
UACGUAGGUGGCAAGCGUUGUCCGGAUUUAUUGGGCGUAAAGCGAGCGCAGGCGGUUUCUUAAGUCUGAUGUGAAAGCCCCCGGCUCAACCGGGGAGGGUCAUUGGAAACUGGGAGACUUGAGUGCAGAAGAGGAGAGUGGAAUUCCAUGUGUAGCGGUGAAAUGCGUAGAGUAUAUGGAGGAACACCAGUGGCGAAGGCGGCUCGUCUGGUCUGUAACUGACGCUGAGGCUCGAAAGCGUGGGGAGGCGAAC